ACGAACGCUGGCGGCGUGCUUAACACAUGCAAGUCGAACGGAAAGGCCCCUUUGGGGGUACUCGAGUGGCGAACGGGUGAGUAACACGUGAGUAACCUGCCCUUGACUUCGGGAUAACUUCAGGAAACUGGGGCUAAUACCGGAUAGGAAUCCUUGCUGCAUGGUGGGGGUUGGAAAGCUUCGGCGGUUUUGGGUGGACUCGCGGCUUAUCAGCUUGUUGGUGGGGUAGUGGCUUACCAAGGCUUUGACGGGUAGCCGGCCUGGGAGGGCGACCGGCCACAGUGGGACUGAGAUACGGCCCAGACUCCUACGGGAGGCAGCAGUGGGGAAUAUUGCACAAUGGGCGGAAGCCUGAUGCAGCAACGCCGCGUGCGGGAUGACGGCCUUCGGGUUGUAAACCGCGUUCAGCAGGGGCGAAGCUUGUGGUGACGGUACCUGCAGAAGAAGCACCGGCUAACUACGUG
rnacentral:rRNA from 1 species